rnacentral:lncRNA from 1 species
GUGUUUGAAUCAAUGUAAAUGCCUAAUUUUUGCUCCUUUUUUUUUUCUUCUUUUAUGUUUAUUGUGUGUGUAUGUGUAGGUUUUAGGAAUUGAUUUUGUUUAAUUAAAAAGGGAAUAAGAGUUUGGGCUAAGUUGCAUUUUUAGCCGGAAUGGGCAAAAAAUCGGACCAAAUCAGUGGCCCAAUGGCACUGACCCGGUCCGGAUGAGACUGGCCAGGGAGGUAAACUACACGGCAUAGUUUCAGUGUCGUUUUAUUUAAUAACUUGAAGAUCGAAUCUCAACCGUUGGUCACUCUUUGAUCGGCCGGUUCUCAUCCAAUCUACAACCCAGGUAUUUAAUACCUCAAUUGCCCGAUUUUUGCCCUCAUUUAACCCCCCCCCCUUUUCUUCUUCUCUUCUCUUUUCUCUUGACUCUCUCUCAUCUCUCUGCCUCUCCGCCACUCCCCACGGUGGUUCCACCGGCUGAAAAUUGCCACCACCGGCCGACCACCUCCAAUCACCACCAAACUUUCACCCCCUAAUAUCAACCUCGUCUUUUUGAUUCCAACCUCCAAAUCCUCUAAAUCCUCACCAAUCACCACAAAUCCGGCCAAAUCUGAAAUCCUAGCCGUCCAAAGUUUCUUCUUUUCUUUCUCAAAUUAGUGACAUACCAGUCAUCCCCACCACACAAGCCUCGCAUAAAUGUGUAUAUCUCCGGGAGAUCUGCACUUCUCCAUUAGUUUCAUUACCAAAAAGCCCCAUCGUUACCGUCCGACCACCCCAAUGCCUGUAACCUCCACCAAACGCCCCGAACAUCUAUUUUAGCUAUUUUGACUCAAAGACACUCGUUUUUUUUUGCAAGACGCCGAAACCCUUUUGUUUUAGCGUCUGCUCGAAAGAAACGUGUGUUCUAGAGUCGGACAGCCACCGCUUGAUGUCUCUGUCGUCUUCUGGUGGCUUGAGACUGCCUCGAUGGCACUUGUUAGGUAUACUCCUAUCUCUUGUUUCCUUUUUAAUUUUUUAUGUUUCAUUAAAGUUAGUUUAGGCCUAGGUUUAGCUUAUAACAUUUUUCUGUUUGUUUCUUAUUCGUGAUGAUCUUCUUUUAAUUUGUGUAUUUUCUUUUGAUAAAAUAGUUUAGAUAUUUUAGCCGAAAAUAGUAGCUUAAUCACUCAAUGAAUCUUGUUUAGUUCUUGUUUGUGAUUUAGUAGUUUGGUAUGUAGUAUAGUGUUCUGAUUAGCUGCUCGUAAUGGUCGUUUAGUUAGUGAGUUUGUAUUUAUUUAGUUUGAGUUAGUGACUUGUUGAUCUUGAUCGAUUGUUGGUUGCAUAAACCAAAUUGAUUUAAUCUAGUUAGUUUGAAUUUAGUUACAGUAAAGAUAUUAUUUAUGCUUUGACAAUCCAUAUUUGUUUAAGUUUGAUUUGUUUUGAGCAAGUAGGUUGGUACUGAUGGUUUAAAGUUGAAGUCUAGGUAAAUUGAUCACGAUUUAGGAUACUAGUAGCUUGCUUUUUACUACUAGAGUGGCUGAAAGGACCCUUUCACCCCAUGCUUCUGCCACAACAGGUUGGCUGUCUUUUCACCCUUCGAACAGUCUUUGGGCAGUGUUUUGGCCUACAAAGUCAGUCCUUUUGGACAGACUUUUGGUGAACCAAAAUCUAUCCCAAAGGACUUGUAUUUUCCUACUUAAGGGGGCUCCUCUCACUCACUUUAAUUUAGACAGGCCUUUCAACCUUUGUUGAACACACAAAAAACUUGAGAGAAAUCAGCUGAACAUCAAGAAAUAGUAGGCUGAAACUUGAGAGCUUUGUGUGAAUUUUCUGGAAAAAAAAAACUUCAAAGAACAAAUGUCUUUGAAGUUAAUUUAUGGGUUUCUUUAUCUCUGAAAAUUGUCUGAGUUUUCGAGAUCUAUUUCGAGUCGUCUAUUUGGUUCUUUACUGUUGUUGCUGUUGUUUAUUUAGUUGCUGAUUUUCAAGUGCUUUUGCCGAGUUUUUCUGUUUCGUUUCUAGGUAUUUUCAUCGCUAUUUCUGCUGUUGUUUCUGCUCGUUACACUGCAGUAUUUUUAUUAUUCUGCGACCCAGGUAACUCUUUAACCUUGUGUUGUAGAUACUUUAACAUUAAUAAGAAGAUUUGAACUCAUCUUGACUGUUGGGAGCAUAUUUAUCUAGAUAAAUGAAUGCUAGAUAGUUUUUGAUUGUUAAAGCAUAUCUUGUUUGAUUCACGUGUAAAAAUGAAUCUAUGAAUGUUCAAAUACUCUCUAUUCAUGUGUAACUUGACUUUAUUACCCAAUAUAUGGUUCCGAUUCAUGUAAAAAUGGGAUAUUCUGAAAAGGCUGGCAUGUGUUUAAAGACUGUUCUGGCACUUUGCGCAAUUCUGGCCAGUUUAUGUUAGUUUUGUGCAAAUUGGCCAUUCUUUAAAGAAAAGAACAAAAGAGCCAUGCCUGAAAGCUUUAAUUUAUUAUUAUAAAGUCUAGAUUUUACAUCUCUGCUAGGACCUUUGCUUUCUGGUAAAAAGUGGCUAGAUCAUAAAUAAGUGGUUGGGAUUGCUAGCUAAAAAUAAAGGUUAAUGGCUUAGAGCAAAAGAGGUUAGACUCGCAAUAUAGCACAGGUGGGCUGUCUUAGCAAGUCAGCAGUUGAAAGCCAUUGGGCUUUUAGCUUGUGCCCAUUUAUGGAGCCCAAUAAUGUGGACAAGACAGAUUCUGCCCAACAGGCCCAAUGCCUUUAAAAAGUCUAUAAAUAUUUUGCCCAUUCGUUUGUGUAGAUGCUGGCCCAAUGACACAACUAAUAAGCAAAUCGGCCCACUUUCUCAAUAAAUAAUCUGAUCCAUCUUCAAAAUAAUACUAGAUUAGUUGAAUAAACUUAUUAGGAGCAAGUUAAUUUCCAUAAUGUUUAACAAUAAUCUAAUAACUUAAGCACUUUUAAUUAAUUUAAGCGCUAGGCAAAUUUUAGGCACGGAUACAAGUCUGAUGUUCUUAAAAUGCUUCGCGUAUACUAGCUUGGUCAUGUAGUUUAAUAAGAAUAAAGAUUAUAAAUAAGGUCCAAUAUCAAUAGAAUAUCCAUAAGUUGUUUUACUACCAUUAGUUUACAAAAAACAUUUUCUUUCACAAUAGAGAUGGAUAAUUAUUUUUCCCAUAAUCUAACCUCCAAAACCUUAGAUUAAAUAAAGAUAAUUAGUUUCGUCUUAACCGAUAUCGAUAAGACUCACUUCGAGUAGGCUCCAAUUCUAGGUGCGACACACGAAUUAAGGUCGGAGAUAAUCGUCUUGGUUAGUGUAAGUUAGGGUCGGGGAUACUAGUCCUAGUUUGAAACUUAACAAUGUCAUCAACAAUAAAAGCGGAGUUUAAGUCAAUAAAGCGACGGUGCUAGAACCACGGACUCGGGGAGUGCCUCACACCUUCACCCCGGUCAACAUAAUUUCUUACCCGGUCUCCUAUUUUUGUAGACCAAUAAAAAUAGAGUCAAACCUUCCUUUGACUAGGGAUUCAAAUAAAAAGUGACUUGGAACACCUAAAAAAUCAAUUCGAGUGGCGACUCUAUAAAUAAAAUAAUCUCUACUCAAAUUUGUCACUUUAAUUAAAAUUUUUUUUUUAAUCCACAAUCCAUACAACAUAUCCUUUAGGGUAGAAAAGGGGUGUGACAGCUCUGGCGACUCUGCUAGGUAAAUUCAAGAAUUCGAGCUUAUACAUUGACUUUAUUUAGCUUUAUUAAUUUUAGUAUAUACUGUGAUUUAUUUGGGCCUAAUAUGCUACUUGCCUGCUCUUUACCGCUUUGAUAUUGUUGAACUGUAUUAUAAAUUGUCUUCUUGCGCAUCCCCUCUAAGUCUUCUGAAUAUAACAUCAGCAAUUGCGGAUACGCGCCCCAUUCUUUUUUGAGAUAAAGCUGGUGGGCCUGAGCUCCCAGUGAAGAAUUAUUAGUCACCCAUAUUUAAGAAACGGGGAGGUUCCAGUAUUGUGAUGACCCGAUAGGUCAUUUUGAGAUUUAGCCUCUAUUCCCGUAUUUUGAGACCUCGAAUAGCUUCGUUUAGCAUUCUUGAUUUGCGUGCACAGUCAGAGUCUUAUUCUGAAAACGUUUUAUGUGAAAAAUUUAAGAAAAUGUGAAUUUUUGUCUUUAAAAUGACUUGAGUUGACUACGGUCAAUAUUUUAUGUAAACGGAUCCGGAUUAGUAUUUUGAUGGUUCAGGUGGAUCCGAAUCGUGAUUUGGCACUUGGGCGUAUGUCCGGAAUUGAAUUCGUAAGUCCCUAACUUGUUUUGACUCAUUUUGCUGAAAAUUAGCAUUUUUGAAAGUUAAAGAAUUCCUAAGUUGACCAUAAGUUGACUUCUUAGCUAAUAGGUUCGAAUUUUGACAUUAAAACUUGGAAUUAUUCCGUAUUGCUAUUUGAAACUUGUCUGCAAAAUUUGGUUCAAUUCGAAAUUGAUUUGACAUAAUUCAGACACAUAAACGUGAUUCUAGUAUUUUUGAGUUUCACUUUAAAAGUUCAUUCGUUUUGAGAGUUGAUUCGUAGAUAUACAUGUUAUUUUGGUGAUUUGAUUGUACGAGAAAGUUCUUAUGAUGUUAUUACACUUGUGUGCAUGUUUAGUUUGGAGUCCGAGGGGCUCACGUGAGUUUCGAAUAGUCUACGAAUUGAUUUUGGACUUUGGGAGAUAGCUGAUGUCUUCAGUGUUGCUGGUGUAAUCUACAGAUCUCGCAUUUGCGAGGCCUGGCUCGCAAUUGCGAGCCUCGCUUUUGCGAACUAGUAUUUGCAUUUGCGAGUACGGGUUGGAUUGGGAAGUUUUGCAUUUGCGAGGAGAAAGUUCGCAUUUGCGAACGUGCAGUUGCAGCUUUGCGAAGACAGAGUCGCGUUUGCGACUCAGUGUGUUCCUGGGUAACCUUCGCAUUUGCGAAGGGAUGGUCUGCAUUUGCGUGGGCUCUAGGUUCAUAUUUGCGACCAAAAUGUCACAUUUGCGACGUCUCUUCUUCUAAGAUAGGGUUCUCAUUUGCGACCCCUUUCUCGCAUUUGCGAUGUUUGCAAUUGCGAACAUGACAUUGCAAUUGCGACAUCCGCAUCUGGGUAAAAGAGGGAAAAAGCGAGAUUUAGCUCAUUUCUCACAAACUCUCAAAUCUAAACACCUAGAGGCGAUUUUCCAAGAGACGUUUCUUCCUAAAUUCAUUGGUUAGUGACUUUAAUCCAUUUUUUUUCAAUUACCCAUAACAUUUCAUAAGAUUUCAACAUAAAAUUUAGGAUUUCAAUGGUAGAAAUUAGAGAUUUGGGUAUAAUUGAGGAUUUUUGUAAAAUUGAGGUUUAGACCUCGAAUUGGGGUCGGAUUUCGAAACAAAUCACAUAAUCAGGCUCAGGGGUGAAUGUGUAAUCGGGUUUUGGUCCAAAUCUCAAUUUUGACCAAGCGGGCCCGGGGUUGACUUUUGUUGACUUUUCCAAAAAUGAUCUAAAUUGAACCCCUUUCAUUCGUGGGUAGUUUCUAAAGUUUAUUUUGAAUCAUUUGGUCAAUAAUUUACUAUAUUUGGUUGGUUUGGAGGCUUGUUCGAAAGGAAAGACCGUUGAGCUUUGAGUUAAUUGCGGAGUGAGGUAAAUGUUGGGUUUAAUGUAAGUGACCCGCGUUAGCUUGUCACUACUUCAUCGAGGUUACGCUCGACACUUACAGAGUACAUGGGGUCGGUUGUACUCAUACUACACUCUGCACUUCUUGUGCAGAUACCGAAGUUGGUCCCAUUGACGUUCAGUAAACUUGCUCAGAUCCAGUUUUUCGGUGGAGACUUGAGGUAUAGCUACACGACGUCUGCAGCCCUGAAGUCCCCUUAUACUUUAUUUUAGCUGUUUACUUUGAUUAAGACAGUUAUGUUUAUUUUAAACUUUUAUUUUUAGUAUUCUAGAUGCUCAUGUAUUCUUGACACCAGUUCCGAGAUUUGUAUUUGAAUUUCGUCACUUAUUAGUUUAUUACCUUAUUUCAGACUGUUCAGUUUUAUUAUUGUCAUUUAAUUUGAAAAUUGUUAAAAAUGGUUAAUAACUAUAUCUAACGUUGGGCGCCAUCACGGUCCCUAGGGUGGGAAUUUUGGAUCGUGACAAAUUGGUAUCAGAGCACUAGGUUGCCUAAGUCUCACGUGUCAUGAGCAAGCUUAGUAUAGUCUGGAGGAUCGGUAUGGAGACAUCUAUACUUAUGUUCUAGAGGCUAUGAAGUUUAGGAAAAAAUUCACUUCUUUCUAUCUCGAUCGUGCAAUUCAUUCUAUCAUUGAUGAUUGAACCAUUCUAUUCUUGUUCUCUCGCAGAUGGCGAGAACACACAACAUCGACAGUUGAACAGGAGCUGGAGCCCCAUGUGGCAGCUACUACCAGGGGCAGAUGUAACGAACCGAUCGAUCGUUUUGAGCUCUAGUGCAUCAUUCGGCGGUUUGAGGCCUUGAGUAGCUUCACUUCAUGUUUUAUGACUUGUACGUGUGGUCAGAAUUAAAUUUCGGGAAGUUCGGAGUUGAUUCGGAAGGAAAAUUCUCAAUGCGGAAGCUUAAGUUGGAAAGGUUGACCAAGGUUUGACUUUUAUUUAAACGACUUCGGAAUUGAGAUUUGAAGGUUCUAAUAGGUUCGUACGAUAAUUUCGGACUUGGGUGUAUGUUUGGGUUGAGUAUCGGGUGGUUCGGAAGCAUUUUGGCGCUUAUUAUGGGAAGUUGGCAUUUUGAAAGUUUAAGAAUUUCUUAAGUUUGAUUUGAAGUGGACUUUGGUGUUACCGAUGUCCGUUUGGGAUUUUGAGCCUUAAAAUAGGUUCGUAUCAUGAUUUGUGACUUCUUCGCAAAAUUUGGCAUCAUUUCGGAAUGUUUAAGUAUGAUUCGGAUGCAUUCGUCGAAGUUGAAGGUUUGAAAGUUAAAAGAAGGAUCUUGAUCGUCGAUUUGUCAUUUGGAUGUUAUUUGGUGUGCUUUGAGGUCUCGAGCAGGUUCAUAUCAUGUUUUGGGGCUGGUUGGUGUGUUCAGACGGGGUCACGGGUGUGAUUCAGGAUGUUUUCGGACCAAGUUUUGGUGUUUUGACGCUGUUGGUUGCUGGUGAUGGUGUCGUGCUUCGCGAUCGCGAGUGGAUAUACGCGAUCGAGAAGAAGGAAAUUGGUGGCUGCCUUUUUGUGCUUUGCGAACACGAAGUAAGAGUCACGAACACGAAGGAGGACUGGGGUUCAGGGGGACUUUACCCUACGCGAACGUGACAAGGUAGUCGCGAACGCAAUAAGUUGUUGGGCUUGUAGUUUUUCAUUCGCGAACGCGGGAAGAUAAACGCGAACGUGAAGGAGGAGUUCUAGACUGGGGACGAGUUGGUCAUCGCGAAUGCGAUGGUUUGGACACAAACGCGAUGCUUUGGACUAUUGGGCCUUCACAAACGUGACCAGGGACACGCGAACGCGAUGAAGGACGGGCCUGGGCAUAUAUGUUUUAAAGCGGGAUUUGAGUCAUUUUCACCUCAUUUUCUUCUGUGUGAGCCAACUUUGGUGCAGUUUUGGAGUUCCAUUUCAUCAUCUAUCAUGAGGUAUGUAAUUUCUACACAUUGUUAGUUAAAUAUACGAAUUUAGGCUUGUAAAUUUAUGAAAUUUUGUAGAAAUUGUGGAAUUUGGAAGAAAACCUAGAAUUUGGUAUAUUUUUGAUUUUGACCACGAAAUUGAGCAUGGAAUUAGGAAUAAAUUAUAUAUUUGAGAUUGUGGUGUUAUGGGUAAUGUUUAUCUUCGAAUUAGGCAUUGGUUUGAGGUGAUAGAGAGGCAUUGGAGCCAGUUAUGGAACUUCGGAGCGAGGUAAGUCUCUUGUCUAACCUUGUGAGGGAGAAUUUACCCCAUAAGUGUUAUAUUUAUUAUGUGCUACACGUUGUGGGAGCUACGCACAUAUGAGGUGACGAGUGUCCGUGCGUCCGCUAUAAUUCCUGAUUAUGUCCUGGUAGACUUAGACUCACGCCAUGAUUUAAUUGUACUAUUUGAGUUAUUCUUGCCUAUUUAAUUACUUCAAUUUGCACUAUGACCUGAGACUAGACUCGCGUAGAGUAAUGGACUCUCUAUUUUAGAUAUUUGACGAGCAACUUGAUUAGCUGAAGAAAUUGUACUUCUCUUACGGAUUUCUCCCGCGUUGUGCGUAUUCAUCAAAAAGUUUCCUUAAAUUUCAUAACUCAAACGUAUAUUCGUGAGUGGGGUCAAGGAACCGUAAAAGCUUCAUAUUCCUAUGGGAUAGUGCCGUUCGCCUUGGCAGGAUAUUGUAACACACUCUUAUAGGAUCAGGCCGUUCGCCUCGACAGGAUAUUAUAACACACUCUUAUGGGAUCAAGCCGUUCGCCUCGGCAGGAUAUUGUAUCAUACUCUUAUAGGAUCAGGCCGUUCACCUCGGUAGUUCUAUGAAACACUCUUAUGGGAUCGGCCCACUCACCUCGGCAGAAUCGUGCAAAAUACUUGAUAAAACGUCCGCAUACUCAUGAGCUUCCUAACUUGAGGUGUGACCAUUGAUUUGGUAAUGACCAUUACGUAUUCCAUUUGAGGAAGUAUUCGAUACUUGACAACCUUGUGUUCAUUGUUUAGCUGCAGACCGUAUUAUUUGCUUAUAUCUGUACUCAUUGUUUACUCAUAUUUCAUACUUGUCUACUUUAUUAUACUUGAUAUACUGGACCACUAGUAAGUGUCAAUGUCGACCCCUCCUCACUACGUCUUCGGGGUUAGGUUAGAUACUUACUGAGUUCGUGUUGAUUUACGUACUCAUGCUGCACUUCUGCACUAAAUGUGUAGGAUAUGAGAGGUUCAUUUGGUGGUCAUUUGGACGCUUAGGCGUAGAUGCUGAGGGGAUUUUAUGGUGAGAUGCAUUACAUGCUACGAGUCACAGCACACAGAGUCUCCAUCAUAAUUAUUUACUUUAUCCUGUCUAUCUUGUAUUCUAGACAUAUGUUGUAUUGUUAUUGUACUUUCUAGUAGAUGCUCAUGCACUUGUGAUACUUGAUUUUGGAAGUAUUCUAGAAUUUGUUUAUGGUUUGAUUUACAUUGACACACUUUUACUUUAUAUUUUUAUUAAAUUGUACGUAUCUAUGAUUUUUAAUGCAUUGAUCUCUCUCUAUCUAAUAAGAUUCAUGAUUUUUAAAAAUAAUAAAAUAAAUAAUUAAGUUGGUAGUUCACCGUUGGCUUGCCUAACGGCGACGUUGGGCGCCACCACGACCUAUUUUGAUAUUUGGGCCAUGACAACUUGGUAUCAGAGCCCUAGGUUCACUUAGGUCUCACGAGUCAUGAGCAAGUUGAGUAGAGUCUUACGGAUCGGUACGGAUACGUCUGUACUUAUCUUCGAGAGGCUACAGGGCUGUUUGAAGAACUUUCCUUUCUUGAUUCCUCGUCGUGUGAUUUGAUUCCAUUGAAGCUUAUGCCUUUAUUUCCUUUCUACUCAUUCUUAUACGAUGUUGAGCGCUUGUUAUCAAUUGGGCAUCGAGGAGUUGUAAUGGUACUGCAAAUGUGGUGCAGGAUAUUUCUCCCUGCGUAUUUGAGUGGGCUAUUAUCGUCGCCUUAUGGAGGGAUGUUCUGUCGUUUCAGCCCAGUGUUGGUAUUGCCUACGUUCGAGAUUUGAUAUAUUCCAAAUUUGGUGGAAUUCUUGUUAAUAUUGUGGUGUCGCCGUCCUUGAUUGAACGCAUUGAGGCUCAUCGGCAUGUUGGUCUUCAUUUGUUUGCCUUUAGGCAUAGUGUUUUGAGAUGGAACGUAAGAGGAAGUUAUCAGAGAUGGCUGUGUGUUGCGACUUCAGGAUCAAAUCGGCGUUUCCAGUGUUGAUGGUUCGAGGGAGAUGAUCUCUGAGGUGGUUUCUGCGCUUAGGAAUUUUGAAUGUGACGAGAAGGGCUUGAUUGGAAUGUCGGAAAAUGUGAGUAUUCGAUAAUUGUUUUGGAUGCAGUACGACUUUGAGUUUCUAACAUAUUGUUGGACCUUUGGGUGAUGUUAAUGAAUGAAAGGAUUCUUACGGCUGGUAGAUCAGUGUGUGCCCAGGGAGAUUAAUUGAUUUCAUGAUGGAUGUAACUAUUGCAAUGACAUUGGUGGAAGUCGAUAUGAGGUUACACAUGUGGGAUAUCUCCUGUGAAUAGGUUAGCGAUUGCGUGGUUUUGAUGAGGUUCCCAUGAGGAGUUCUACUUUCUACCUAACAUGGGAUGCAUGUAUUUCGAUGUGAGCUUGGGUUGCUUGAAGAAGACGGUAUGACCCCUAGGAGGUUGAGCGUGCGAUGGUGGCUGAUAAUUCAGGACGUGUGAUUGGUGCAACAAGAGCUUGCAAGAAGUUGGCCGAGUAAUAGUAUGGGAUCGUGGUAACUGGGAAGAAGAAGUCGUUGUGAGGUUUCGAUCUGUGUGAUUAUAGCAUAAAGCUAAGUGGGGGAGCCUGCCGUCUAUGAUUAGGUCACGUGGUUGUGUGCCUGUGUAGUUUCUGGCUAUCGGUGUAUUGGUAGAUUAGUUAUGACCAAGAGAAGAAAACAUCAAGGGUAUUUUGGGCAAGGAAUUUGACGUAUAUGUGCUAUAUUUCACCUUAUAGAUUCAUGUGCAGAUGUUGGGGAUGACUCAUAAUUUAUGCUUCUUGUGGAUGUGAUGUGCAAGGAAAAGAAUUAAUCAGGUUGCUUCUUUGGAGGUAUUCAUGUGCUAGCAAAGCACUAGAGUUUGGUUAUAUAUUUGGGACUAGGUCAGAGUGGGCGAUUCUUAACAAUGGUUCUAUUAGGUUCAAGAAUUAAAUUGCGGUGUUUAAAGAUUUUGGGUUCGUUAUGUGGCCGAGGACUGGGUUUUGCAACAUAGUGUGAAGAAUACUUGGUGAGUUUCUAUGUUAUCAUCGGGUCUACGGUGCAAUAUUAGAGAAAUGGGAGGAACAACUUUGGAUUCGCAGGAGGUCUUCCAAAAUAGGUGUAUCAACGAGAGAUACUAUUGAGUACAUGAGGAUGGUAUGAGAUGGUUGGUGGGUAUGGAGACGACAUGGUCUUAUGAUAUGGGUCACUCUGGAUGAGUGUAGUUUGUGGUCCGUUAUGUAUUUGAAUAGAACUAUUAUUUCGAAGGCAAGUUAAGAGUAAAUUGGGAGAAGUAGAGUUAGUUAGUAAUGGUUUGAAUCAGCAGGGUUGUGGAAAUGGCCAGUUUCUUCCGUGAGGUAAGGCUAUACAAGUGGUUCGUGGAUAUACGUGCGAGCUUAAUAGCCGUCGUGGUUCGAUUGAUUUGGAAGUAAUUGAUUCUAAUGUCUUGGUUGCAUGUGAAUGGAUCCUAGAAGAGAUAUGGCGGUUUAUACCGCGACUUGAGGUUUGCAUUUUCUGUGGUUAUGGGAAGUUGGCUAUGAGUGGCGAUUCUUCUUUUGAAAUGAGUUAAGUGAAAGGUUUCGAGCCUAUAAAGUGUUAACUAUACUGAUGGUACAGGAGAUUAUGAUGCAAUUCUUGUACUCUUGAGUAGCAGCAUGAUAUGUGCAGUGAGCGGUAUGGAGAUUUGAAGUGGAGGAUCAAGGUUGCAGUUCAGGUUUGAUAAGAAUGUCACGAGCUCAGGGGGGGGGGGGGGAGAUUCAGAUGUUCAGAGUAAGCUGGAAUUAUCUUAAUGUCGCCUAAGGAUGGUGUUCUGUAAAAGAGGCAUUGCGCAUUGGUUAAAGGAUUCUUAAUUGGCAUUACAUAAAUACUUUCAUCGAUGUCCAUUGAUGUUCAAAUUUUCCUACCUGGUACGGAAGGUUGUGGGAGUAUAUCCCAUGGGAAUAUCUUAUAAGUGUGACGUGUUAGUCAUUUAAAUUGUUAGAGACUGAAAUCAGGUAUGAAGGUUCCGAUACUGUCACUGAUUGGAGAGUGUAUGUCUGAGGGGCGCUCUAUUCAUUUGAUUGUGGAAUGUGGAGGUUUGUUCCGAAUUGGUCGGCUGCUUGUAUGUGUCAUGAAUGGGGUCAUUGUGGAUCUUUGAAAGGUUAUUGGCCUAGUAUGGGAUGAUCAGAAUCGGCUUGAGGUCCGUUGGUAGAUCUAAUAUGAAUGUAUGCUCUACAUCAGACCGGAUAUGUUCAUUCAGCAUAACAUUGCUUAUGGAUGAUUCUUCGGGCGUAGAGGAUGAUAUUCCAUGCGUCGUCCAUUUUAGGUGCUACUCUUUAUGCCACAUGUGUUGUGAGGCGGCUUGAUUAUUCGCGCGUGAGUUGUGAUCCGGUGUAGCUUGUGGUAUUAUAUGAGCGAGAUGGCUUUCGAGAUGACGGUUGUUUGAUUCUCCUUAUUAGAGCUUAACUUUUGUAGCACAUAGGGUUAUCCAUCUCCCCAGGGUUGUGUUUAUGCACUUGGCGUGCUUGUGGUCGAUAUUCAGGCAUUUUGUGGGUAUGAGCAGUUUGGCUCGGUAGGUACUUCCUUGUUGAUUGUUCUGUAUAGAUUGGGUGGCCCGCCGCCACAGGUAUGAUGUUUGAGUCGGGUUGCACGCCGCAACAGUAUCAUAUGUGGAUCGAUUUGCGCGCCACAACAGUGAGAUAUUGAGUACGGUUUCCUAUACUUAUUUUUGUGUGUCUUGUUUCUCACCUCUGAGAUAGGUUCAUAGCCUUUGUUUGGUUGUUUUAUUCAUUACGCGGGCUGAUUAGUUCUUUGCCAGAGUUCGUUCUUCCAUAUGUGUCAUAUUCGAGUCGUAGCUUGAUGGUGCAUUAAUAGCGUCAUAUGGAAUUUUAGAUGGUAUUUGAGGUGGUGUAUUGCCCGAGCAACUUGUACUGGUCGAGACGAGGUUAUUGGACCUAAAAUCAGUGCGAUCAAAUUUAUGUAAGGUAUAUUAUAGAGAAAAUGUCACUAUUCAGAUUAGUAUGAGGUAAUGGUUCUUGUCAAAUGGAUAAACUCCACGAGUUAUUAAUUUGAUGGGUGGUUAUGAGUUCCUGCACAUCUCUUUCAUCGUUGAAAUAAUGUGAAGGUUAAGGCCGAGCUUAUAUGCGCAUUAUGAGGUAUAUUAUGGGCACUUGAUUGGUGAAAUUAUAGCUUCUACGGUUGGAGGAUGUUAUGGGCACACAAAUUAUGCGGUCCAUUGUGUGGUUUUCUGCAUGAGUGAAUGAUCAUAUUUGGUACAAUGAGUUGAGAUUGUUACGGCGUGUGUAUGUUAGAAUCAGACCAGGUGGAGAAUUUUGGAUGUUGGAAUUUGGUUCAAAGUCUUGUGGGUUAAUGUAGCGUGAAGGAUCUUCAGCCUAGCUCGAGUUAAUGUGCUCACGUGGGUUGCAGUGGCAUGGAUAGGUGCACGAGGUGUUAAACAAUGAUUUUGGGCAACUCCGAAACGGUUCUUGGCACGUUCGAGGACGAACGUAUGUUUAAGUGGGGGAGAAUGUUACGACCCGAGUCGUUCUAAGAUCUAGCACGUCGUUCAGCAGUUUGACUCCUUGAGCAGCUUCACUUCAUGUUUUAUGACUUGUACGUGUGGUCGGAAUUAAGUUUCGGGAAGUUCGGAGUUGAUCCGGAAGGAAAAUUCUCAAUUCGGAAGCUUUAAGUUAGAAGAGUUGACCAAGGUUUGACUUUUGAGUAAAAGACAUCAGAAUUGGGAUUUGAAGGUUCCAAUAGAUUAGUACGGUGAUUUCGGACUUGGGCGUAUGUUCGGGUUGAGUAUCGGGUGGGUCCGGGAGCAUUUCGGCGCUUCUUAUGGAAAGUUGGCAUUUUGAAAGUUUAAGAAUUUCUUAAGUUCGAUUUGAAGUGGACUUUGGUGUUAUUGAUGUCCAUUUGGGAUUUUGAGCUUUAGAAUAGGUUCGUAUCGUGAUUUGUGACUUGUUCGCAAAAUUUGGCGUCAUUCCGGAAUUUUUAAGUAUGAUUCGGACGCGUCUGUCGAAGUUUAAAGGUUUGAAAGUUAAAAGAAGGAUCUUGAUUGUCGAUUCGUCGUUUAGAUGUUGUUUGGUGUAAUUUUAGGUCUUGAUCAGGCUCGUGUCAUGUUUUGGGGUUGGUUGGUGUGUUUGUACGGGGUCCCGGGGGCCCCGGGUGUGAUUCGGGGUGGUUUCAGACCAAGUUUUGGUGUUUUGAUGCUGCUGGUUGCUGGUGCUGGUGUCGUUCUUCGCGAUUGUGAGUGGACAUACGCGAUCGCGAAGAAGAAAAUUGGUGGCUACCUUUUUGUGCUUCACAAACGCGAAGGAAGAGUCACAAAUGCGAAGGAGGAAUGGGGAUUAGGGGGACUUUACCCUACGUGAACGUGACAAGGUAGUCGCAAACGCGAUGAGUUGCUGGGCUUGCAGUUUGUCCUUCGCGAACGUAGGAAGACAAAUGCAAACGCAAACGCGAAGGAGGAGUUCUAGGACGGGGGCGAGUUCUUUAUCUCUAACGCUAUGGUUUGGACGCGAACACGAUACUGUGGACUAUUGGGCCUUCGCGAACGCGACCAGGGGCACACGAAUGCGAUGAAGGAUGGGCCUGUGCAUAUUUGUUUUAAAGCGGGAUUUGGCUCAUUAUCAUCUCAUUUUCUUCCAUGUGAGCCAACUUUGGCGCUAUUUUGAAAUUCCCUUUUCAUCAUCUAUCAUGAGUUAAAUGAUUUCUAUACAUUGUGAGUUAAAUAUACGAAUUUAACCUUGUAAAUUCGUGAUAUUUUGUAGAAAUUGUGAGAUUUGGAAGAAAACAUAGGAUUUGGUAUUUUUUUGAUCUUGACCACAAAAUUGAGCAUGAAAUUAGGAAUAAAUUGUAUAUUUGAGAUCAUGGUCUUAUGGAUAAUGUUUAUCUUUGAAAAGUUUUGGAAUCCAGGCACGUGGGCCCGAGGGUUGACUUUGUUGACUUUUCGAGCGGAGUUGAGAAUUGUUAUAAAUUGAUUAAUUACGAGUGUUGGAAUAUAGUUUUAUUGGUUUUCACGAUUGUUUGAUUAGUUUCGGAUCGUUGGGCAUUAAUUUGAGGUGUUAGAGAGGCAUUGGAGCCGAUUAUGGAACUUCGGAGUGAGGUAAGUCUCUUGUCUAACCUUGUGAGGGGGAAUUUACCCCGUAGGUGUUAUAUUUGUUAUGUGCUACACGUUGUGGGAGCUACACACUUAUGAGGUGACGAGUGUUCGUGCGUAUGUUGGAAUUCCUGAUUAUGUCCUGAUAGACUUAGACUCACGCCAUGCUUUAACUGUACUAUUCGAUUUAUUCUUGCCUGUUUAAUUACUUCAAUUCGCACUAUGACUUGAGACUAGACUCGAGUAGAGUAAUAGACUCACUAUUUUAGAUAUUUGAUGAGCUACUUGAUUAGCCAAAGAAAUUGUACUUCUCUUACGGAUUUCUCCCACAUUGUGCGUAUUCAUUGAAUAAAUUUCUUAAAUUUAAUAACUCACACGUAUAUUUGUGAGUGGGGUCAAGGACCCGUAAAAGCUUCAUAUUCUUAUGGGAUCAGGCCGUUCAUCUCGGCAGGAUAUUGUAACACACUCUUAUGGGAUCAGGUCAUUCGCCUUGGCAGGAUAUUGUAACACACUCUUAUGGGAUCAAGCCGUUUGCCUCGACAGGAUAUUGUAUCAUACUCUUAUGGGAUCGGGCCGCUCGCCUCUGCAGAACCAUGCGAAAUACUUGAUAAAAAGUUCGUGUACUCAUGAGCUUCCUGACUUGAAAUAUGACCGUUGAUUUGGUAAUGACCAUUACGUAUUCCAUUUGAGGAAGUAUUCGAUACUUGAGAACCUUGUGUUCAUUGUUCAACUGUAGACCGUAUUAUUUGCUUAUAUCUGUACUCAUUGUUUACUUAUCAUAUUUCAUACUUGUCUACUUUAUUAUACUUGAUAUACUAGACCACUAGUAAGUGUCAAUGUCGACCCCUCCUCACUAUCUCUUCGGGGUCAGGCUAGAUACUUAUUGGAUAUGCGUUGAUUUACGUACUCAUACUGCACUUCUGCACUAAAUGUGCAGGAUCUGACAGGUUCAUUUGGUGGUCAUUUGGGCGCGUAGGCGCAGUUGCUGAGGGGACUUUAUGGUGAGCUGCAUUCCAUGCUACGAGCCACAGUACACAAAGUCUCAAUCAUAAUUAUUUACUUUAUCCUGUCUAUCUUGUAUUCAAGACAAAUGUUGUAUUGUUAUUGUACUUUCUAGUAGAUGCUCAUGCACUUGUGACACAUGGUUUUGAGGGUGUUCUAGAAUUUGUUUAUGGUUUGCUUUACAUUGACACACUUUUACUUUAUAUUUUGAUUAAAUUGUACGUAUCUACGAUUUUAAUGCAU